rnacentral:rRNA from 1 species
AUUGAACGCUGGCGGCAGGCCUAACACAUGCAAGUCGAGCGGAGCGGCGGACGGGUGAGUAAUGCCUAGGAAUCUGCCUGGUAGUGGGGGAUAACGUCCGGAAACGGGCGCUACUACCGCAUACUAUCAGAUGAGCCUAGGUCGGAUUAGCUAGUUGGUGGGGUAAAGGCCUACCAAGGCGACGUUCCGUAACUGGUCUGAGAGGAUGAUCAGUCAAGCUGGAACUGAGACACGGUCCAGACUCCGACGGGAGGCAGCAGUGGGGAAUUUUGGAAAAUGGGGGAAACCCUGAUCCAGCCAUCCCACGUGUGCGAUGAAGGCCUUCGGGUUGUAAAGCACUGUGGGCAGGAAAGCGGUAACUGCAGAAUAAGCACCGGCUAACUACGUGCCAGCAGCCGCGGUAAUAC